AUUGAACGCUGGCGGCAGGCCUAACACAUGCAAGUCGAGCGGAGCGGCGGACGGGUGAUUAAUGCCUAGGAAUCUGCCUGUUAGUGGGGUAUACCUUCCGGAAACGUGCGCUAAUACCGCAUACUAUCAGAUGAGCCUAUGUCGGAUUAGCUAGGUGGUGGGGUAAAGGCCUACCAAGGCGACGAUCCGUAACUGGUCUGAGAGGAUGAUCAGUCACACUGGAACUGAGACACGGUCCAGACUCCUACGGGAGGCAGCAGUGGGGAAUAUUGGACAAUGGGCGAAAGCCUGAGCCAGCCAUGCCGCGUGUGUGAAGAAGGUCUUCGGAUUGUAAAGCACUGUAAGUUGGGAGGCGUUACCAACAGAAUAAGCACCGGCUAACUUCGUGCCAGCAGCCGCGGUAAUAC
rnacentral:rRNA from 1 species